CACCAGGAUAAUUUUCCUUCCUCCAGCUUUUCAAAGACUACUGUUGGGCAAAUCCUACUUCCACCUUAGCUAGUCUUGGAGUCCUCCUGCAAGACUAUUAAUUGGCAUUCUAGAACAGCUGCUGGGAAUUCUUCAAGUCCACCACUCAAGAUAGUGAGAGUAAUAUUCAGUCUGAGCCAGUGAUGUUUUUUGAUCUCAAGAUUUAUACAGGAUAAAUAUUUGUGGAAUCGGAACACAAGAUCUGAGAACCUUUGUAGAUUUCUGCUGUUUCUGUGUAAAUGCACACAGAUGGUGGUGGUGGUCAGAAAAAUAAAAAAUUACUGAAAAACUGUUUCAAAAAGAGAAAUAAAACACAUAAAACAUGAGGAUUAAAACCCUUUUCAAAAGAUAUAUUAAAAGACAAAAGAUAAAGAUCAGCAGAAUACCACAGCAUAAAAUGCCCUUUAAGGCAAUUAUUAUUAAUUUCUCAGGCCAAAAAAGCAAGUAUGAAGCCAUCUUGAUAUUCCUAGGGAGGCAAUUCAAAAGUCUGGGAGAAGCCACUGAGAAGGCCUUCUCCUAUGUUGUCUCUAAACAAACCCAAGGGUUUAUUUAUUUUAUUUAUUUACAGUAUUUAUAUUCUGCCCUUCUCACCCCGAAGGGGACUCAGGGCGGAUCACAUUAUAACACACAUAGGGCAAACAUUCAAUGCCCAUAAACACAUCAAACAGAGACUGAGAGACACACGCAGAGGCAAGUUAACCUUCUUCUGAGGGGAUGUUCGAUUCUGGCCACAGGGGGGAGCAGCUGCUUCAUCAUCCACACUGACGGCACUUCCUCAUUCCAGGUCGUAAAUUAGUUAAUCUUGCCUCCCCACUUUAUAAGUGGUACCUUAUCUCCUACUUGAUAGAUGCAACUAUCUUUCGGGUUGCUAAGUCAGCAACGAGCAGGGGCUAUUUUUUAUUUUUAAUUGACGGGUGCUCACCCCGCCACGGGCUGGCCUCAAACUCAUGACCUCAUGGUCAGAGUGAUUUAAGGCAGCUGCUCAACAGCUGCGCCACAGCCCAGCCUAAUUUGGGCUAACCUCCACAGAUGACUUUUAGCCUGGGCAUGUAAGUUUUACAGACACUCACACUCACCAGAAGGGAACAUAGGAAAAUUUCAUCGCCUCUUCAGGCAAUAGGCAUAAUCCUCUAACAAUGCCUCUGCACAUAUAACAAUGGAGCCAAACUAAAGGUCAUGGAAGUUGCCCAACACCUUGCCUCUGUACUUCUCUUGGGAACUCAUUCAGACUGGCUAACACCCAUUGCCACCCAUUGUUUCACCAAAACAAACCAUUAACUUGGGCCCUACCCACAUUCUUUAUUUCCCACAUAAACCCGAGAGAUGGACCAAAAAACAGACACAAACUUCAAACUGGGCAAUGAUAGUUUAUUAAAAUUCCCACCAGACCCGGAAGCCAAUCAGCUGCAGCAAGAGAUGGCGUACCUGAGCCAACCAGUGUGCAGAUCCUAGCUGGCCCUGGGCUGAGCCAAUCAAUGCUCCAAAUGCUAAACGUCCUUUGUUUUGAACUAAUGUCAGAGUCCUAUAAAUAUUUCUGUAAGUUUUCAUUGCAGCAUAUCAGAUGUGAGAGUGAAGACUCUUCUGGCAUUCACUCUGUCCAAAACAAAUAAAGCCUCCAUUCUUUUGCCUUCACCCUGCUGUGUCUUGUUUUGGAUUAGGGCUAGGCAUCCUGGGAACCUGAAACCAUGGUUUUUGUUGAGCUGAAAUCACAUAACAGUAUGCGCUGUGGUUUGUUCCCCUUGCCCCCUAUCCUCUGGGGAUGCCAAAACCAGAGGAUGCUUAAGCCCCAUAAUAUACAAAGGUGUGUGAAAAUUAUGUCUCUUAAACAAAUUUUCAAGAUCAAGGUUUGCUUUUGGGGAAUUAAAAAAAAUAUUUUCAAAACAUGAGUGGUUGAAUUUGUGGAUACAGAAUCCAUGGAUAUGGAAGGUUGGCUGUAGAAAGUAGAAUAUGCAAGAAUGCUUUAUUACUUGAGUCCCAUUGCUCUAAAAGCAAACAAAAGAAGACAGGUCAGGGAGAACACUUCAAUUAUCACCAUUUCCCCAAAAUUCCCAAAGAAGAUAUCUUGCAAUGUUCCAAAUGAUUUUUUAAAACAUUUAAUUGGUUUAAUAUCCUAUGUAGUUAAAAGGAUAAAAAUACAGUCAUCAUAAAAUGAUGCCUAAAGCAGCAGCAAAGACUAGAUAGAGCAAUGACAUUAAAUAGCUGGCCUGCAGCUAUUAAGAAUGGUGUAAAACCUUCAUUGCUCGAGAAAAGACAGCUGUGCCUCUCCAGAUUGGAAAUUUCAGAGUAUCACCACUGAGAAACUCUUUGCCCUGAUUGUCCUGCAGUC
rnacentral:lncRNA from 1 species